rnacentral:rRNA from 1 species
GACGAACGCUGGCGGCGUGCUUAACACAUGCAAGUCGAACGGUAAGGCCCUUCGGGGUACACGAGUGGCGAAGGGGUGAGUAACACGUGGGUGAUCUGCCCUGCACUUCGGGAUAAGCCUGGGAAACUGGGUCUAAUACCGGAUAGGACCACUGCCUGCAUGGGUGGUGGUGGAAAGCUUUUGCGGUGUGGGAUGGGCCCGCGGCCUAUCAGCUUGUUGGUGGGGUGAUGGCCUACCAAGGCGACGACGGGUAGCCGGCCUGAGAGGGUGACCGGCCACACUGGGGCUGAGCUACGGCCCAGGCGCCUACGGGAGGCAGCAGUGGGGAAUAUUGCACAAUGGGCGCAAGCCUGAUGCAGCGACGCCGCGUGAGGGAUGACGGCCUUCGGGUUGUAAACCUCUUUCAGCACCGACGAAGCGCAAGUGACGGUAGGUGCAGAAGAAGGACCGGCCAACUACGUGCCAGCCGCCGCGGUAA